CAGAACCAGGAGGGGCAGAAAGAGAAGCAGGGCCAGCAGCACACAUGGGGUAGGAACUACAAAGAUGUGCCAACCAGAUGCAACAUGCGCACCUUGCGUGGUCCAGCACUAAAGGGCACUGUGGAGACAACCAGGAUGUCUGAAUACACAGGACGGGACUUCUGAAUGCAAGUACAAACUAUAUGAAUAAUCUUCUAGGAGCUACCAUUAGAAGGCCCUAAGAACGGACUCGUGGGUGUAAAAAGGACCAUGUGAUGGGCUGUGAACUCUACACAGAGCUGGCACUAAGUAAAUGCUUGUAACAAAA